UUAACCCAUUUUAUGGCUCUAGGGACUUUAAGGCAAACAAUUAGCCAUGGAUCCCUCUUGACACCCUGCACCACUAGCUUUCUGUAUAGUGUAUGUGCAAUCUAGUAUCACUUUAAAGUAAAGGAGGUAAACAGAUUUCUAUGCGCAAACCGUACACACAACGUAGAUCUUUAGGUUUUAGGCACAGAAGCAGUUAACUGCAUUGCCCAGUAGGUAACCACUAAAGCACAAAAUCUAACAGAACAAGGGCCUUAAUACAGAUACAAAUACAAACAUAUUUCAAAUUACGAAAAGGGUGGGACACCUGUUUGUGAUUGGACAGAUCCCGAGUCAAUGUUAGCUGACGUAUGUCGUCAGUGGCCACGACGUGUCGCUUCAUUGGCCAGGGAAACGUCGGGAAACAGAUUUAAACUAAGUUUGAAGCAUUCCUUCGGUUUGCUAGUGCUGUGAGAAAACGUCGUUACCGAAGAGGUUUACUCGUUCAGCUGUUGCAUUCUAGAAACACCAGCUCUCACCUUACAAACCAGGUGUCACCACGACAUCCACGAUCACAGAGAGUCUUUGUACAAUGAAGAAGUUCUUUGAGAUCAGGACGAAGGCCUCCAGCUUGCUUCCUGAUCGGCUAACACCAUGUUCCAUGUGACAAUCCACAGAGUGCGUGCCUGGCUUUCCUCAAUGUUCCCCCCACACAACAGGAUUUUCAAUCGACUCAAACUUCAACCAUUAUGUCACAGAGAGAAGAGACAAACACAAAGACAUUCCCAGAAGCUGCUGUCGUCUUCUCCUCCUGCAGAGACAAGAAAACAUGUUAAUCACAGACACUGAUCAAUACAUCUAUCAUCCUUAUUCAUUUUUGAUACCUCAAUAGACAUUUGAUUCUUUACCAUACUGUGGCGGUUUUUGACACCGUAGUAUACUAUGACAUUAUUUGACUUGCUAUGACUUUUGAUUCUUUAUUACAUCAUUUUUUGGUUUGACACCAUAGUAUACUAUGAAUUUUUUUGACGCUUUACUAUACUAUGACAUUUUUGAUAUUUUUGAUUUA